rnacentral:rRNA from 1 species
UACGGGGGGGGCAAGCGUUGUUCGGAAUUACUGGGCGUAAAGGGCGCGUAGGCGGCCUGCUAAGUCACACGUGAAAUCCCUCGGCUCAACCGGGGAACUGCGUGUGAUACUGGCGGGCUUGAAUUCGGGAGAGGGAUGUGGAAUUCCAGGUGUAGCGGUGAAAUGCGUAGAUAUCUGGAGGAACACCGGUGGCGAAGGCGGCAUCCUGGACCGAGAUUGACGCUGAGGCGCGAAAGCUAGGGUAGCAAACGGGAUUAGAUACCCCGGUAGUCCUAGCCCUAAACGAUGAGUGCUUGGUGUGGCGGGUAUCGAUCCCUGCCGUGCCGAAGCUAACGCAUUAAGCACUCCGCCUGGGGAGUACGGUCGCAAGGCUGAA